GAAGACUGAUUAUAAUAGUGAUGUUGCAAAAGUUUUCAAUAGAUGCCAGAAAUUAUAUACAUUGAUUUAAAAAGAGAAAAAUAUCUAUGUACAUUUUAAAGGAUAUGUACAUAAGUAUAUUGCAAGAGCUACGUAUACAUUCGAUUUUAUAUUGUCUGACUAACUUAAGAAAAAUAAAUUAAUUCGGACAAAAUAUUAGAGUUUCAUUCCGUUUAUGUUACACAGUUAUAGUUAAACAUACCUAUGAGUAAUUAAUGUUGACUUUAAAGUUGAGAAAAUAUUUUUAAAGCGUAGUUCUAAUAAUCUAAAACGCCAUAAUCAAAAUACAAAUCAGUAUAACCAACAUUUUGAGGCACAGAAUAUCCUGCAGUAGAAAUUUUUGAAUCGAACAGAGAAUCUCAUUCUUUCAAAAGUUGGUUAAAACAAGGAAAACCAUCCGAUAGGAUAGACAAACACAGAAUAUUGUGUAAACCAACGAUGCUCCAAACAAAAGCAUCUGUUUACGUAAGUUUACGAAAAUAUUGGCUGCAUUGUGCAGUAUCGAUCAAACAAGCCAUUCUGUCGCUGAAGAUGGGAGACAGAAACAAUUAUUCCAUUCAUUUUCCCUGAAGAGUGACUGCGGAGAGGUCGUCAUGCAGCAAGUUCUGGUCAUCCUUUGUUUUGUUCACGCCAUUGAGACACUUUACUACGCGAAGGUCGGGAAACCUAACUGUCUUAUGUACAACGGGACCUGUGUCACCGAAUGCCCAGAAAAUAUGCACCGUUUGAACAGCGAAUGUCGUCCGACACCGUCGCAGAGGACGUGCGACGAACCAGUCGCAGUCUCUAUGGGAAUCAUCUGCGACUGGUCGCGAUGCGAUUGCGACUUUCCCCUAGUUUUACAUUUGCCUUCGGGGUAUUGCUUCAUGUACGAAGAUUGUCCAUGAUUGCGAAAUGGAAUCCACUUUAUUGGAAUUGAAAAUUAAUAUAUGUUGAGAUUUGUUAUGAGAAAUAAAUUUUUGUGAUUGAUUGUUAUUUUA